rnacentral:rRNA from 1 species
ACGGGAGGCAGCAGUGGGGAAUAUUGCACAAUGGGGGAAACCCUGAUGCAGCGACGCCGCGUGAGCGAAGAAGUAUUUCGGUAUGUAAAGCUCUAUCAGCUGGGAAGAAAAUGACGGUACCUGACUAAGAAGCCCCGGCUAACUACGUGCCAGCAGCCGCGGUAAUACGUAGGGGGCAAGCGUUAUCCGGAUUUACUGGGUGUAAAGGGAGCGCAGGCGGUCUUGCAAGUCUGAUGUGAAAGCCCGGGGCUCAACCCCGGGACUGCAUUGGAAACUGUGAGACUAGAGUGUCGGAGGGGCAAGUGGAAUUCCUAGUGUAGCGGUGAAAUGCGUAGAUAUUAGGAGGAACACCAGUGGCGAAGGCGGCUUGCUGGACGACAACUGACGCUGAGGCUCGAAAGCGUGGGGAGCAAACAGGAUUAGAUACCCUGGUA